rnacentral:rRNA from 1 species
CAGCAGCCGCGGUAAUACGUAGGGGGCGAGCGUUACCCGGAUUCACUGGGCGUAAAGGGGGAGUAGGCGGCUCGGUAAGUCGGGUGUGAAAUCCCACGGCUCAACCGUGGAAUUGCGCCCGAAACUGCCGAGCUUGGGGCCGGUAGAGGGAGACGGAACUGCCGGUGUAGGGGUGAAAUCCGUAGAUAUCGGCAGGAACGCCGGUGGGGAAGCCGGCCUCCUGGGCCGCGCCCGACGCUGAGGCCCGAAAGCUAGGGGAGCAAACCGGAUUAGAUACCCGGGUAGUCCUAGCCGUAAACGAUGCCCACUAGGUGUGGGGGAGUAUUUCCUCCGUGCUGUAGCUAACGCGUUAAGUGGGCCGCCUGGGGAGUACGCCCGCAAGGGUGAAACUUAAAGGAAUUGGCGGG